AAAGGCUCUGCCAGGAAGGAGGCCACCGGAGCCCCUCCCAGUCCGAGGGGAAGGAAAGCUAAGGCCCCGUGUCGCCCUAAAAAUCCAAAGCAAAAUAUUUCCCCCAAGCAUUCUUCUCUCCUCUCUCUGAGCAGAUUCUGCACCGUGGGGACCUGGGGGCUGGCUCCCUCUGGGCCCAGAGUUCCAGCCAAUUUCCACAUUCUAUCGGGAAAGAGCGAUCCCCACCUCCCGUCUCCCAGGCUACACUCGCUUGGAUCCGGGGUUGUGAGCGAAAGGACCGGGCGGAGAGGGCCUGAGGUUGGGCGGAGCACUCAGCACCGGCCUCUAGGGAGCUACAGUAGCGGGCGGACGGAGAGGAGGCGACUCCCUUCCCCCGUGCACACCUUCGCUUGAACAGUCGGGGCCCGCGACGCGCAGGCGGCCAAGAAGGCCAAGGCGGGCGCCACCCGCGCAGCUCAGUCGGCCUGGAGCUCAAGGCAUCUGCGAUGAGUGAGACCUCUUCCAUCCCAGUGGAAAUUCCUGGUCUGCGGAGAAGAGAAAGGACCCCUGAAUUCUGAUGGUUGGAAAUGUCCUGUCGGUUUCUCAAGGGGAUUAACAUCUCUCCGACUCUUGCCCUGCAAAGCCAUCACUUGUACAGGGCAGAGACAGCCGACCGCCCAGGGUGGAAAAUGGAGACAACUGGCUUUCCACGCCUUUCCCAGAAGCAUUUCUGGCCGAGGGAGGAGAGCACAAGGCCUCGGCGCUGGCCCUGCCGGGUUCAUGGCCCUGAGCAGCAGGUGCCCAGAGGGGAAGAAGGGGCUGCAGUGGUGGCAGCCGCGUGUCACCCAACGUGGAAAGCGAGGGGCUUUGGUCCAGAGCUGGUUCAUCUGCCUCCCACAGGCUCAGACUCAGCCCUGGAGGUGCCCCAGGCUGUAGGACAUGAGCCCCCAAGCUGGGUAGGGGCUGCAGGAGAAAGGGGUGUUCAAGGUGGGGGGGCCACGGCAGGGAACACCCUCGGCUUGGGCCCCUUCUGGUUGACAGCCCACUGAAAGGGAGGGGCAGGGUGUCGCCCCCUUGGGUGACCCAGGCAGAUGCCAAAGUCCUGAGGUAUCCCUAUCACACCCACGCCGCCUCCCGCCAGGCGGCCGGCGGGGGUCAGUGUUUGGCCACAGGAAGCUAGUCUUGCAGCUACUCUACUGGUCUGUCUGGACUUGUUCCCUGGGCCAGGUUCUCACCUACCAAGACUCUACCUCCUUCCUGGUGGUCCUAGGCUAUCCUUCCUACUUAUUUAUUUAAAAGAUAGAGAGAGAGCGAGCGAGAGAGAGCGAGCUUCCAUCUGCUGGUUCACUCCCCAAAUGGCCACGACUACUGGGUCAGGCAAAAGCCAGGAGCCAGGAGCUUCUUCCAAGUCUCCCAAGUGGGUGCAGGGGCCCAAGGACUUGAGCCAUCCUCCACUGCUUUCCCAGGCGCAGUAGCAGGGAACUGGAUCAGAAGUGGAGCAGCCAGGACUAGAACCGGCGUCCGUAUGGGAUACUAGUACUGCAGGCAGAGGCUUAACCUUCUAUGCCACAGUGCCAUAAAUAUUUAUUUAUUUUCAUCUACUUGAAAAGUAGAGAGAGAGAGAGAACUGAGACCAGCAUUGUGGUCCAUAGGUUAAACCACCACGUGCAACACCAGCUUCCAAUCCAGUUCUCUGCUAAUGCACCUCGUAAAACAGCAGCAGGUGUGCCCUUGCCACCCAUUUGGGAGCCAGGAUGGAGUUUUUGGCUCCAUUCUUCAGCCUGGCCCAGCCCUGGCUGUUGCAGCCAUUUGGGGAGUGAACUUGUAGCUGUUCUACCUUUCAAAUAAAUAAAUAUCUGUUGGUUCAUUCCCUAAAUGGCUGCAGCAGCUGUGGCUGGGCCAAGCUGAAGCCAAGGAGACCAGAACUCCAUCUGGGUUCCCCACAUGGGUGACGGGAACCCAAACACUUGAGCAAACACCUGCUGCUUCCCGGGAUGCAUUAGCAGGGAGCUGGAUCAGAAGCGGAGUAGCCAAGACUCCAAACCGGAAGUUUUGGGUUCAAGUUCCUGGUCUGCCAGUUACCACUGUGUGAUCUUGGGCAAGUCACUUUACUUCUCUGUGUCAAGUUUCUCCUGUUUAAAAGAUGAGCUCGUGACAGUAAGAAUGACUGCUAUGCUAGGUGCCAAGGGUCCUUACGCCAUGUACCAGGUGCAUGUUAAUAUGCCAGGGCUUAAGGUGAGGAGCCCGGCCCUGAGAGAUGAGUGACAACAGGAAGUAGCAGAGCGGGCUGCAGAACACGGCUCUGUCCCUCUCUGCUGUGUGACUGCCUGGCAGAAUGCAGUGAGAAUUAAAAUUCAAAAAUGGGCAGUGAAGAUACAGUUAGGAUGCCCACGUUUCCCAGAGGGGGGCCUGAGUUGGGUCCUCUGCUCCAACUCCUGACUCCAGCUUCCUGCUGGUGCAGACCCUGGGCUACAGCGGUGAUGGCUCAAGUAAUUGUCACUCACACAGGGGACCUGGAUUGAGCUCUGGGCUCCCAACUUUGGCCUGGCCCAGUCCCAGAUGUGUGGGACUUUGAGGAGUGGGCCAGUGGAUGGGAGCUGUCUUUGUCUGCCUCUCAAAUAAUUUUUAAAGAUUUAUUAAGUAAAAAGGCAGAGUUACAGAGAGAGCAGGAGAGACAUGAGGAAGAGAGAAAGAGAUACUCACACAGACGGAGGUAUCUUCCAGCCACUGGCUCACUCCCCAAAUGGCUGCAAAGGCUGGGGCUGGGCCAUGUUGGAAGCAAGAGCCUGGGACACCAUUGGGGUCUCAGGUGGCAGGAGCCCAAGGCCUUGGGCCGUCUUCUGCUAUUGUCCCAGGUGCAUCAGCAGGGAGCUGGAUUGGAAGUGGAGCAGCUGGGACUCAAAACUUGCAGUUAUAUGGGAGGCCGGUGUGGCAGGAGGUGGCUCAACCCACUGCGCCACAACACCAGCCCCUCAAGUGGUUUUAUUUUUAAUGUAAAAAUUAUGUUAUUACUGUCCUCUGGCAGUCUGGCCUAGACCCUGGUGGGUGCUGACUCCUACCAAGAGGGGAAGCAGGAAGCAGGGGGCAAUGCCUUUGGAUCGUUAGAAGCGUCCUUAGUGGGCUGUGAACUGACCCCGGCUCACGGAACAUAAGCUUCAGAAGUGGGGGACUCCGCCCCUCCUGCUGUGUAGUAGAUGCACAAGAAAUACGAAGAAAUAGACCAGUCCCCACUCCUCCCACGUCCACUCCAGGACGGGUCCUAACGGAGUCGUUUUUCAUAUCAACUGUUCAGCUGCCAGGCGGUGAUGCCGAUUACGGCUUUCAUUCAAGGGCAUUACUGGAUCUCCUACGACUCCUACCGCUCUCCGUUGUCGAAACCAUGCCGAUUCAAUAACAGCCUUUCUAUUAGCAUGGUCAUGGGAUAAAUUGAGUACACCAGCUGGAUGAUUCAGCCUUGUGACUCACAGUGCUGAGGCUGAGAUGUGGAGAAAUGACAGACAGAGGAGAGUGACAGCUGUCAGAGAAGCACGUGGCUCUAACGUCCCAGGAACGCACUCCCGAGGGGCCAGAGAGGCUUCCGCAACCCUGGCUUUGUCUCCAUCCUCCACCUGCUUCAACCAGUGAUUGGCUCCUGUCCAGAGCAUGCGUGAGGACCUUGACUCUCGGCGCUGAUGAAGCCUACAGGUGCAACACCAAAUCCUGGAGUGCUCUGUGUGUGUGCGGACCUACAGGGCGGCAGCAACGGGAGGGCAGAGGAAAGGGAGCCUUCGGCUCAGCACCACGGAACUGGGGGAGGCCGUUUGAUGCAGUGCCUCUGCUGCUGCUCGGGAUGCCUGCACCCCAUAUAGGCGUGCCUGGUUCAAAACCCAGCUCCCCGUCUCCCGGUCCUGCCUUCCUGGGAGGCAGCAGAUGAGAGCCCAAGCGCCUGGGUCCCUGCCACCCACCUGGGAGGCACGGAUGGAGUUCCAGUUUCCUGGUUCUAACCUGGCCCAGCCCUGGCAGCUGUGGGGAUUUGGGGAAUGAACCAGUGGGUAGAUCUGUCUCUUUGUCUUUAAAACAAAAGGGAAAUAACUAAAAUUUAGAAGAUCACUCAUGUUGUUUUUACAAAACACAAAGAAUGGACAAUUAAAACAGACUGUCUAGGGGCCGGCAUUGUGGUGCAGUGGGUUAGGCCACAACCUGCUGUGCCAGCAUCCCAUAUAGGCACCAAUUCAAGCCCCGGGCUGCCCCAUUUCCAGUCCAGCUCUCUGCUAUGGCCUGGGAAAGCAGCAGAAGAUGGCUCAAGUCCUUGGGCCCCUGUAUCCACGUGGGAGACCUGGAAGACGCUCCUGGCUCCUGGCUUCAAUCUGGCCCAGCCCUGGCCGUUGCAGCCAUUUGCGGAGUGAACCUGUGGAUGGAAGAUCUCUCUCUCCCUUUCUCUCUUUGUAACUCUGCAUUUCAAACAAAUAAAUAAAAAUCUUUACAAUUGACCUUAGCCACAAUGCCUGAAGCGAUAAAUAAAUAAAAAUCUUUAAAUAACAGCAACAACAAACACGUUUUCUGUGCUGACUGUCCCUGCGGACUCUCAUUUUAAGGCAACACCACAGUUCAGUCACAGUCCCCAGGAUUUUCUUCUUCUCUUGGUUGGCAGCGGCACAAGCAGUAAACACCUAGAUUUGAGGCUUGGAUGAGCCGACCCAGUGGCCACUGGGCUCCAGGUCCCUCCUCUCUAGGGGCAGGCGUGCUAUUCUGGUUGUCUUCUGACUUCUCUGAGCUUUCCUUUUGUCAUUGGAAGUCUCACCUGUUCUUGCCUUUUCCUGUUGCCUAUAAGGGGGAUUCCAGAUUUUUGUCGACUGUCCUGUCUUCUUUACUCUUCUCCAGACUCAAGUUACAAAAUAAAGAAUGGGACCAGCAUUGCGAUGCAGCAGGUGAAACCCCCUUACUGGAGUGCUGGUUCCUGUCUAGGCUGCUGCCCACUUUGUAUUAAUUAAUAAUUAUUUGAAAAAGUUACAGAAAGGGAGAGACGAGAGACAGGCAGACACAGAGAGAGAAAGACAGGUCUUUCAUCCGCUGGUUCACCCCACAAUGGCCCCAACAGCCAGGGCUGGACAGAGCAGAAGCCAGGAGCUUCAUCUGGGCAUCCCACAUGGGUAGCAGGGGUCCAAGCACUCGGGCCGUCCUCCGCUGCUUUUCCCAGGCCGCCAGCAGGGAGCUGGAUGGAAAUGAAGAAGUUGAGACUCAAAUCAGUUCCCACACCCACCAUGCCGCAAUGCCAGGCUCUGGUCUACUUCUUAUCCAGCUCCCUGCUAAUGCGCCUGGGAAAGCAGAGAAGAUGGGUCCCUGCCAGCCAUGUGGGACACUGGGUUAGAGUUACCGAGUCCUGGCUUCUGCCUGGCCCAGCCCCAGGCCAGGGCUGUUGGAAGCAGAUAGAAGUUUCUCUCUCUCUCUCUCUCUCUCUCUCUCUCUCUCUCUCUCUCAUAACAUAAAUGAAUCUUUAAAGAAAAUAAACAGCAACUUGGAUUGGGUGUCCGUCCCUGACUUCCCAGCGGUAGCUGGGGAGGGGGCAUUUGUGUGGACAUUGCACCCACCACUGGAGUCACAGGGAUGAAGCAGGAGAGGCGCACUCACUGGAGGAGACCUGGGGAGGAGCGUGAGACGACCACUGAGAGCCCCGCUGAGGACGUUUCAAUCGGAUGUCCCCACGGGUGCUUCCCAUCUUCUCCAGAAAACCUGACUCCCCUCCUGUUCUGCCAACCUCAGUGAACGGGGCCGCCAUCCGCCACGUCGCUCAGCUAGAGAAUCAUUCUAGAAAGCCCCUGUCUAUCACCAGCCCCAAUGCCGCUAAUGUAUCACCGAGCCCCGUUCUAUCGCUACCUUCUGAGCAUUCCUCCUGCCCACCUGUCCUGCUACCUCCUCAGUUUGAGGCCUUCUUCAAAGGUCAUCUGGAAUAUUCACCUGUUGCUUAGCUGCACUGUCUGCUCCUAAUCUUGCUUCCCCUAACCCCCUCUCCUCACUGCUGCCAGGGGUCUGCCUUUGUAUUUCUAAACUUAGCAGACUGUUGUCUGACGCUAUGAAAAAAUCCAUGAUGACUUAAAGCAUCAAUUAAUAAGGAAAAGACUAGAGGGGAAUGAAACUUUUCCUGAAAUUCUCUGUGUCUGUGUGUCAUUGUGUCUUCACCUGGGGCUCACUCUGUGUCUGUCUCUGACUCCUAAUUUUCCUCUUCUUAGAAGGAGCCAACCAUCUUGGCUGGAGCCCACCCCACUUCAGUUAAGGACUUCACCUGAACUAACAGCGCUUGCUAUGACUCUAUUUCUUUUCCUUCUUUCUUUUUUCUUAAAGAUUUAUUUGUUUAUUUGAAAGGCAGUUCCAGAGAGAGGGAGAGAGAUCUUCCACCUGCUAGUUUACCCCCUAAGUGGCUGCAAUAGCCAGGACUGGACCAGGCUGAGGCCAGGAGCCAGGGACUCCAUUCAGAUCUCCCACGCGGAUGGCAGGGACCCAAGCACUUGGGCCACCUUCCGUUGCUUUCCCAGGCACGUUGGCAGGGAGCUGGAUCAGAAGUGGAACAGCCGGGACUUUAACUGGUAUUCACACGGUGGCUUAACUCACUGUUCCACAGCACCAACUCCAGUGAUCCUGUUUCUGAAUAAGGUCCUAGGGGUUUGGAAUUCAACAGAUCUUCAGAGGGAGGGCAGCACAACUCAACCCCAAACAUACCCUGCCGCAUUUUUUCACCUGAUCAGCUCCUCUUCGUUCUCCUACCGAGGUGCGAUCUCUCCAAGGCAGUUUUCCCGGAAGACUAAGUACAGGCCUGUGUUCCCCAUAGCUGCCUCCACAAUGGCACAGGGCAUGCAUUAUUAUCUGUAUGUAGGCCAUUUUUCUUUCUUUUUUUUUAAGAUUUUAUUUAUUUGAGAGGUAGAGUUACAGUCAGUGAGAGGGAGAAAAGGGUCUUCCUUCCAUUGAUUCACUUCCCAGAUGGCCGCAAUGGCCAGAGCUGUGCCAAUCUGAAGCCAGGAGCCAGGUGCUUCCUCCUGGUCUCCCAAGCGGGUGCAAGGGCCCAGGCACUUGGGCCAUCUUCUACUGCUUUUCCCAGGCCAUAACAAAGAACUGGAUUGGAAGAGGGGCAACUGGGACUAAAACCGGCACCCAUAUGGGAUGUUGGCACCGCAGGGGGAGGAUUAACCUACUGUGCCACGGCACCGCCCUAGCCAUUUUUCUUUAAACUAUGGUUAUAGUUCCUUCAAGGUUGGACCUGUGUCUUUCUAUCUUGAAUACGCCCAGACGAAUGUCUUCUGUUAAUUAGUUCAAGGGUACCUGAGCUGGAGAUAAAAAAAUACAGUGACUUCUAGAAAAAUGCAGGUGUAUGUCUGGGUUGGAUGCUCCAAGGGGCCGGCUGAGGAUUCUGGUUCCUUCCAUUUCAUUGCUUGGCCGACAGAGGGCUCUGUCCUCAUCUGCUUGGUUAGGUAGCAGGCACAUCUGUGCUCCAGCUUGUGGGGUCGGGGGAGAGGCUAUUGGAAAAUUCAUGUUCAGUGUCCAAAAACUCAGCCACAAAGUCAGCCCCAUCGUUUCUGCUCUUUCUGUCAGCAAGAGCUUAGUCACACGGCCCCCUUACUUGAAAUGCAGGCUGGAAACAUUCCUUCGUGAGCAACACUAAAACUCUCUUGCAGCUCCACAGCCCCUUAUCUCCAGGUUCUGAGAGCUCAGAAGUUCUGGAAAUCAUAAGAUUUUCCCCUAAGCUUGGCACAAACUCAUGUACAGGCAAAAUCUGACUUGAAAUGACACAAGGAAUUUAUAGAGACAUCUAUAAAGGCUAUUUAUAGUCUUUAUUUAACCCACUUAGAAUGAAUACUACUAUAUUUUUGUUGCAAAAGUGCCAAUAUCUUUGAUUAAGCUCUCCCCAGACCCUGCUGGGGGAGUUAAUGAUGUGCUGAGUGUGUGGCAUUUCAUCUUUCUGAAAACAGUUCCCAAAUUCAUCUACAGUGUUGAUCUCAGAUCCAGGCAAGGAGCCACACACUGUGGAGGUCCUGCGUUUCUCUUCUUUUAAGCGUCUGUGGGCCCUCCAUUGCCCUGAGCACCCUCUAAUUCUAGACCAUAACCCACACACCUAGGGCACUAGAAUUUGCCUCCCAAAUGGCCCGAAACCUGUACAGGCCUUUGCAGCAGGUCUGCCUUCUGGACAGAAGUGUAUGCCUCUGAUAGCUGCACUUGUAAGCCUGAUAUGACCACAGGGCAGUUUUUACAGUAAUCAAGGGGGGAGGUUGACUGUGCAAACGAAGACGUCCACACAUGUGUUUGUAUAGCCCUCACGAUGAGGCUAGAGUCAGGAGUACAAAAAGAAAGCGCAUAGAUGCCAUUGUCCAAAAUUGCAAAUUGGACCCUGACCAUAUUUUUUUCAAGGUGAAACAGAACACAGGUCUUAUUUGAUGGCUUGUUAGCUUUGCUUGUGUAUCAGAUGUGAGCAGGUGGGCCUUCAUUUCUCCUCUUGGCCCAGGCCCUGUAUCUGUACACCAGCACCAGGGGUUUUGGAGAGCUUGUAGACAUGUGCAAUGGAGGAAAGGGAAAAUAGGCACCACAGCUCAUUCCUGGCACUUAAGUGGUACUCAGUAAGGGAUACCGAAUAGGUACUCAGUGAGAGGUUGUUGAGCUAAAGUAGAGAUGACAACCAGCUCACAGAUUCUUGGGCAGAUCAAAAAGGUAUUUGAAAGCAGUAUGUCAGUUAUGAAGGAUUCUACAAAUGUAGUUGAUGAUGAUAAUAAUGAAGAUUAUAGAAUGCAAAUUUGGAGUGGAGGAGGGCCAGGGAAAUCUAACAGUGGAUUUAUAGUAGAUGAGCCAGAGGAGGUGGAAUUGUAUUUAACCUAUGUGUGGAGGCUUGGCAUUUUUGCGUGUCAAGACUUCAAUCCAUGAACAUAGUAUGUGUCUCCAUUUAGAUUCCUUUCAUCAGGAUUGUAUAGUUUUUAGCAUACAAGUCCUAUUCAUGUUUGCUAGCUUUUCAUGUGGAUACUUUUUUUAGUGAUUAUAAAUGCUAUAUUUUAGGUGUUUUAUAUAUUUAUGUGUGUGCUAUAUAUUUAGUGUCCAGUUGUUUAUUGUUAGCAUAUAGAAUAUGGAAAUGCAAUUGAUUUUUGUGAUCUUGCUGGACUCUCUUGUCAUUUCUAGGUGUUUUUUUUUUUUUUUUUGUAGAUCCCUUGAGAUUAUGUGGAUUUCAUGUCAUCCACAAUAGGGACAUUUUUGCCUGUUCAUUCCCAAUCCAUAUGCCUUUUAUUAGGUGAAUUCAAAAAGUUCGUGGAAAAUAGAAUUAAAAGGCAAGUUUAUUUUGGGAAAAAAUUUUUGAAAUUGAUGUAUAUGAGAGGUCUUCACAAAGUUCAUGAUGGGGCCAGCGCUGUGCUUCUCUCUCUCUCUCUCUCUCUCUCUCUCUCUCUUCCUCUCUCUUUCUCUCUGUCACUCUGCCUUUCAAAUAAAUAAAUAAGUAACCUUUAUUUUAAGAGCUCAUGAGGGACAGUCCUUUGGUCUGGUGGUUAAGCCACUGGUUAGAACACCCUGUCCAGGGCUAGAGUGCCUGAGUCAGAGGCCUGGCUCUGGCUCCUGACUCUUGCUUUCUGCUAACAAAGAUGAUGGGAGGCAAUGGUGAUGACUCAAGUAGCUGGGCUCCUGCCACCAUGAGGGAAGCCUGGAUUGAGUUCCUGGGUCUUGGCUUUGGUCCCUCCAAUCAUUGUGGGCAUUUUGGAAGUGAACCAGUGAAUGACAGUCCUCACUUUCUAUUUCUCAAAUAAUUUUUUUGAAAAGUGUGAGCUACCUGCUUUCUUUCUUUCUUUCUUUCUUUCUUUCUUUCUUUCUUUCUUUCUUUCUUAAUUUGACAGGUAGAGUUAUAGACAGUGAAAGAGAGAGACAGAGAGAAAGGUCUUCCCUCCGUUGGUUCACACCCCAAAUGGCCGCUACGGCCAGCGCUGCACCGAUCCGAAGCCAGGAGCCAGGUGCUUCCUCCUGGUUUCCCAUGCAGGUGCAGGAGCCCAAGCACCCGGGCCAUCCUCCACUGCCUUCCCGGGCCACAGCAGAGAGCUGGACUAGAAGAGGAGCAACUGGGACUAGAACCCAGUGCCCAUAUGGGAUGCCGGCGCCACAGGCGGAGGACCAAUCAAGUGAGCCACGGCGCUGGCCCUGCCUCCUGCUUUCUUAAAAAAAAAAAAAAAAAGAAUAUAGGGGACAGAUGUUGAAGUGUGGUGGAUUAAGCCACCAUCUGCAGUGCCAGGAUCCCAUAUGGGCACAGGUUUGUGUCCCAGCUGCUCCACUUCCCACCCAACUCCCUGCUAGUGGCCUGGGGAAGACAGUGGAAGCUGGCCCAAGUGCUUGGGCCCCUGCACCCAAGCAGGAGACCCAGAUAAAGCUCCUGGCUUCUGGCUUCAGCCUCGCCCAGCUCUGGCUGUUGCAGGCACUUGAGGAGUAAACAAGUCAAUGGAAGAUCUCUCUCUCUCCCCUUCUGUCUCUCUCUUUCUCUCCUUCUCUCCCUGUCACUCUAUCUGUCAAACAAAUAAAUAAAUCUUUAAAAAAAUGAAAAGGAAAAAGUCCAUGAAAAUGCAUGCUAUGCUAAUGUUGAAUGAAUUCAUAUUUCUUUGUCUUUUCUUAUGGUACUGGCUAGAACUACCAGCAGCAUGGUGAAUAAAGGAGCUAAUCUCGGGGAAACACGGCAACUUUUACCACUGAGUAGAAUGCUAGUGGGUUUUGUGGAUGCUCUUUAUCAAGUUCAGGAUGUUCUUCUUGAUUCUUAUUUUUCUGAGAGGUUUGAAAAAAUUAUGAAAUGGAUGUUGACGCUUGUCAAAUAUUUCUUCUGCAUCACUGAUGUUAUUAUGUGUUUUUUCUUUAUACUGUUAAUAUGGUGUCUCAUACUGUUUGACUUUGGAAUAUUGAAGCAACCUUGCAUCCCUGAAAUAAACCCACCUGCAUAAUUUUUAAAAAAAGAUAUGUUUACUUAUUUGUUUAUUUGCAGGGCAGAAUGAUCGAGAGAGAAGGAGGGAGAAAGAGAUUGUCCAUCUGCUGAUUCACUCCCCAAAUGCCCGCAACACCUAAGGCUGGAUCAGGCUGAAACCAGGAGCCAGGAACUCCAUCCAGGUCUUCCAUGUGGGUGGCAGGGAUCCAAGUACUCAGGGGUCGUCUGCUGCUCCUGGGUACGUUAGCAGGAAGCUGACUUUGAAGCAGAGGUGGGACCCAAUCCUAUGGACUCAGGGGAUGCAGGUGUCCCAAGCAGCAGGUUAAUCCCACCCCCGUGCCAUGAUGCCAGCUCCUAUAAUUCCUUUUAUAUAUUGCUAAAUCCUAUUUGCUGGUAUUUUGUUAAGGUGUUUGCAUCUGUAUUCGUGAGGGAUGUUGAGCUGUAGCAUUUUCUUUUCUUUUCGGAAUGCCUCCAUCUGGUUUUGAUAUUGGGGUAACAUUGUGUUCAUAAAAAUUAAUUCAGAAGUAACCCUGCACUGCUGUUUCCUGGAAGAGAAUGUGUAGAAUUUCAGGCUUCUUAAAUGCUUGGUUGAAUUCUCCACGGGGCACUGGAGCCACCCAGACCCUGAAGUGCUAGAAGGUGGUGGUGGAUUUCAUUACAAAUUCAGCUUUGACCUAUUUCAUACGAGAUGAGUGCUGGGAGUGUGUGUUUUUUCAAGGGAUGGGUUCAUUUUAUUUAAGUUGCCAAAUUUAUGUGUGAAGAGCUGUUUAUAGGUACCAGUUCCCUGUGACUUCUGUAGCAAAUUAACACAACUUGAUGCUUGUAAAGGCACAGAGGUUUACCCUCUCACGGGUCUACAGGGCAGCAGUUCAAAAUCAGCAUCAAGGAACAUAACCCAGGCGUUGGUCGGCAGGACCCCCACCCCCACAACACACACACACACACACACACAGGCUGCAGGGAGAGCCCGUCCUCACCUCUUUUGGCCUCUGGUGGCUUCUGACAUUGCCUGGUGUGUGGCCACGUCACUUGCACCCGUGCCUCCCUGGUCACAUUGUCUAUCUUCCUGUGUCAAAUUUCCCUAGGCCAGAGAUUUCUUAUAAGGACUUGUGAUUGUACCAGGCCCACGGGGUAAUCGCUUUAUCAGAAAAAUCCUUACUUAAUCAUAUCUGCAAAGACUAUUUUUCCAGAUAAGUUCAUUCAUAUGUACAUGUUCCAGGGAAUAUGACCUGAUGUCUUCAGAGAAUGACUGAAGCUGAAUCAUGUCCUCCAAAGAGAUUUCCCUAUUUCAUCGUUAAGAAAAAGAUUUUAUUUAUUUAUUUGAGUGGUAAGAGUUACAGACAGAAAGAAGGAGAGACAGAGAAAGGUCUUCCAUCUUCUGAUUCAUCCCCCAAAUAGCCACAAUGGCCAGAGCUGGGCCGAUCUGGAGACAGGAGUUUUUUCUGGAUCAGUAGGGGCCUGAGCACUUGGGCCAUCUACUGCCUUCCCAGGCCAUAGCAGAGAGCUGGAUCAGAGGUGGAGCAGCCAGGACUUGACCUGGCACCCAUGUGGGAUGCUGGCACUGCAAGCGGUGGCUUUACCUGCUAUGCCACAGCAGUUUUAUUUAUUUUUAUUUGAAAGGCUGAAUAACAGAGAGAGAUUUUCCAUCCAACAGUUCACUGCCCAAAUGCCCGCAAUAGCUGGGGCUGGGUUGGGCCAAGCCAAGAGCCCAGAACUCUAUCUGGGUCUCCCACUUGGGUGGCGGGGACCCAAGUAAUUGAGCCAUCCCUGCUACCCCCCACCCAGUUGUGCAUUAGCAAGAAUCUAGAUGAGAAGCAGAGGAGCCAGACUGCAGCCCAGGCACUCCCAUAUGGGGUGUGGGCAUCCAGAUGGUGUCUUCAUGGCUGCUCCAACCACCCACGCCAAGUCCUGCCCAUCACUGGAAGCCUCCCACAAUGAUGCCAGUUGCUGCUUGUUGUUCCAGAUCCUCCCUCCCACCUCUCACCGUGGCCUCUGGCUUCCUCAGGGCCAGACUUGUCUCUGCUGUAGACACUGGCACCUUGAGCUAGGGGUGUGAGCACACACACAAGCAGAGGGCCUGGCUUCCGACGUCAACUCCAGUGCUGAAUUGCUGUGUGACGUUGGGCAGCUAAGUGACUUCUCUGUGCCUCAGGUGUGCGCACACCUCCACGAAGCCCUGCAGUUGGCAGGUCCAGAGGAGGUUGCCUUUCAGAGCCUGACCACACGGCAUCUUACGGUGGAGCCCAAAGCUCCCAAUUCCUCUUUGAAUAGGAUCACCCCCCAUCCUGACCCCUCCCGGAGAAGGUGAAGGAUUGUGUUGAUGUAGCAGAACUGGAGAAUUUGGCCAGGGAGCCCACGAUAGCCCUCAGGUCAGAGCUGGGCCGGGGAGCCCGCGCCAAAGCCGAGACAAUAGUUUCCUGGAAAAAGAAGGCUGCCUGAGCUCAGGGUGGCCUGGAUCCUGCUUCAUUUCCUGGAGCGGCUCCUGGGCCGGUUAUUGAACAGCCAAUAAAGCAGAGCUUAUAAAAACCCCACGAGUUCGGGCUGCAUCACUGCCCUGGUAUCCUAGCACCGGUUGGUCUGGGGUUUCAUUUGCUGAUGGACAGAGGAGGGACUGUUGCAACACAAGGCCGGGGUGGUGUGGGCGAGGAGAGAAUAGGAUUAUCGCUCUGCAGAGAUUUGCCCGUGCCCUCUGCUGGGGAGAGGGGUCCUGCCUUGCCCGGCCACGCUCAGGGAUCUGAGUCCCCCGGACCCUCUGCUGGGUUUGCCGCUGCCCUCUGUGAAGCCUUGAGCAAUGUGAAAGGUCUGGGUAGCGAUGCCGACUCCACAGAGAUCUCUACACACGCGCCAGAGUUAAAGAUGUGUUUCAAGUCUUCUGGCAACCCAGUGUGACCGUUGGCUUCCAAAAUUGGGAAGAAAACAACACAAAACAAAAAAUCAUCAUUCCCAAACCAGAUAUUUUCCAGUGUCCAGAUGUUCAGUUGCAUGCAAACCAAAUGUCUGGAUUAUGAGCUCAUUUUUUUAAUUGUGUUUUUUUCAGUUGUUUACACGCGGAUUUUGGGUCCAACUGGUCAGAAGCCCUCCCAGGGUGUCCAUUCCCCAGCCACUCCCGCUCCCCUGCUCCUGCCUCCUCUCUGCCCUGCUCCCGGCAUCCCCCGACUGCCCUUUUCAUCGCACCAUAGCAGUCGCAGCUCGUGCCCAGAACAGGGCUGCCCUCGCCAGCAGGACUCCAAGCAGAAGAGGCGGCGUCUCUCCAAGGAAAAGUUGUCUUGAGCGUUCCGAGCCUGGUCUUCUCCAGACGACCCCAGAAGGGAACAAGGGCAGGUCCAGAAGUGCAGACGGAGGUUUCCAGGCAGGGAGGUCCAGGGAGAGAGACUGGGAAUGCAGACGGGAGCUGCGGGCCGGGGUCAGGCAUGGAGUCCACCUCGGGGUCAUAACCUCACCAAGGGCAAGCACGAACACAGUCUGGGAACCAAAGGCCAUGGUCAAGACCGCAAAUGAGACACGCCUUUAAAAGGGGUGAUGGGAACCGUACAGGAGCAGGGCCUGACUGUCCCAGGUGGCGAGUGCCAGGGCAGAGCGCCCGCAGCCACAGUCCCUUUUAGCAGGAUGCUGUGAAAUCCGUCUCUUGGAGAUGUUCUUCCAGUGGAGUGGAGAGUGGGAGCAGGCAGCCUCGGCCUGGCUGGCACCGGACGUCCGUCCCCUUCCACGACUCAAGGCGGAAGUUCCUCCACCACCGACCUUGACUCCGGUUCUAGCCCUCUCUCUCCCUUUCCAAUCUGUCCCCAAGCAGGAGGGGAGAAUCUGGAACCAAUGCUGUACCAGCCACACCUACGUGGAGUUGUUAAGUGGGAGAGAACUUGCUGUUGGAGGCUGGGCUGGCCCCUGGCAACAGGACAGACGUGUGUCCCUGCAGUCCGGUCAGCCAGGGUACCUGCUCUGGGAAAGUCAGCUCCUGAGGAGCGAUGGGAAUCGGGUCCUGAGAAGAUCCAAGGAAGCCUAAAGGACCACUCACUCUGGUCACUUCACACCAUGGAGACGGCACUAGGGAGGACCUGCCCGGUGCUGUCCCAGUAAUGUGGCGCCCUGGAUGGGCUUCCAAAACCUGACCUGUGAGCCUCUUGGGAAGUAGUUAGCUAGCUACCUAUCAUCUAUUACCUGCCAAUUGAGUAUCUAUCAUCUAUCUCGAUCUCUAGCUCUCUUUCUCCUUUUUUUUUUUUUUUAAGAUUUAUUUAUUUGAGGGGCCGUUGCUGUGGCUCACUAGGUUAAUACUCCAUCUGUGGCGUAGGCAUCCCAUUUGGGUGCCGGAUUCUGUCCCGGUUGCUCUUCUUCCAGUCCAGCUCUCUGCUGUGGCCUGGGAAAGCAGUGGAGGAUGGCCCAAGUGCUUGGGCCCCUGCACCUGUGUGGGAGACAUGGAUAAAGCUCCUGGCUUCUGGCUUCAGAUUGGCGCAGCUCUGGCCGUUGCAGCCAUUUGGGGAGUGAACCAAUGGAAGGAAGACCUUUCUCUCUGUCUCUCUGUCUCUGUCUCUCUCUCUCUCUCACUGUCUGUAAUUCUAUCUGUCAAUAAAUAAAUUUUUAAAAAAGUAAAAAAAAAAGAGAGAUUUAUUUAUUUGAAAGGCAGAGAGUUACAGAGAGGCAGAGGAGAGAGAGAUAUCUUUCAUCUGCUGGUUUAUUCCCCAAAUGGCUGCAAAGGCCGGAGCUGCACCGAUCUGAAGCCAGGAGCCAGAAGCUUAUUCCGGGUCCCCAACAUGGGUGCAGGGGCCCAAGCACUUGGACCAUCUUCUACUCUUUUCCCAGGCCUUCAGCAGAGAGCGGGAUCUGAAGAGGAGCAGCUGGGAAUUGAACCGGCAUCCUAUGGGAUCCCAGCACCACAAGCGGAAGCUUACCUUCUAUGCCACAGCACUGGCCCCCUUGCAUCAUUUUUCCUGCCUCUCUCCAUGUAUUUCUCUCCAUCUUUCACUCUAUAAGGCUACUUCAAAAACUUCAUGGAAAAUGUGUGAUAUGAAAAAAAUACUAAUGCCCAGAAGGUGGGGCCAGCGCUGUGGCAUCACGGAUAAAGCUGCCGCCUGCAGUGCCUGCGUCCCAUAUGGGCACCAGUUCGAGUCCCAGCUGCUCCUCUUCUGAUGGAAGCGGCAGAUGGAGGACCUCUCUCUGUGUCUCUCCCUCUCUGUCUGUAGCUCUGCCUCACAAAUAAAUAAAUAAAAAUCUUUAAAGAAAACUAUGAAAACGUGUAAAGUAGGAAGUCUCCCUCCCACACUCUCCGUUUCUCUCGUUCUCGACGUUGCUCCAUCCCUGGAGAGGAAACCACGGUGAUUGGUUUUUGCUGUGUCUUUCCAGAGGGUCCUUAUGCAAAUGAAAAUUACCUGAUAAUAUGCUCUUAUGUCCCCCUUCUGUAUACAAAAGAUGGACUACCGUAAUCUCACUCUGCGCCUUUUUGAUCACUUAAUAAUAAAAACGUGAUUUUAUUAA